AGAGUUUGAUCCUGGCUCAGAGUGAACGCUGGCGGCGUGCUUAACACAUGCAAGUCGAACGAGAACGGCUCUAGCUUGCUAGAGUGUCAGCUAAGUGGCGCACGGGUGAGUAAUAUAUAGUUAAUCUGCCCCUAAAGAAGAGAAUAAUUGUUGGAAACGACUUGUAAUGCUCUAUAUGCCUUGAAUACAAAAGUAUGAAAGGGAAACAUUUAUGGCUUUAGGAUGAGACUGUACAGUAUCAGAUAGUUGGUGGGGUAAAAGCCUACCAAGUCAAUGACGCUUAACUGGUUUGAGAGGAUGAUCAGUCACACUGGAACUGAGACACGGUCCAGACUCCUNACGGGAGGCAGCAGUGGGGAAUAUUGCACAAUGGAGGGAACUCUGAUGCAGCAACGCCGCGUGGAGGAUGACACAUUUCGGUGCGUAAACUCCUUUUAUAUGAGAAGAUAAUGACGGUAUCAUAUGAAUAAGCACCGCUAACUU
rnacentral:rRNA from 1 species